GACGAACGCUGGCGGCGUGCCUAAUACAUGCAAGUUGAGCGCUGAAGGUUGGUACUUGUACCAACUGGAUGAGCAGCGAACGGGUGAGUAACGCGUGGGGAAUCUGCCUUUGAGCGGGGGACAACAUUUGGAAACGAAUGCUAAUACCGCAUAAAAACUUUAAACACAAGUUUUAAGUUUGAAAGAUGCAAUUGCAUCACUCAAAGAUGAUCCCGCGUUGUAUUAGCUAGUUGGUGAGGUAAAGGCUCACCAAGGCGAUGAUACAUAGCCGACCUGAGAGGGUGAUCGGCCACAUUGGGACUGAGACACGGCCCAAACUCCUACGGGAGGCAGCAGUAGGGAAUCUUCGGCAAUGGACGAAAGUCUGACCGAGCAACGCCGCGUGAGUGAAGAAGGUUUUCAGAUCGUAAAACUCUGUUGGUAGAGAAGAACGUUGGUGAGAGUGGAAAGCUCAUCAAGUGACGGUAACUACACAGAAAGAGACGGCUAACUACGUG
rnacentral:rRNA from 1 species